GUGCUCACUUCAGCAGCCCACGUACUAAAGUUGGAUUGAUACAGAGAUUAGCAUGGCCAUUGUGCAAGGAUGACAUGCAAAUUAGUGAAGCAUUCCAUAUUUAA
ensembl:snRNA U6 U6 spliceosomal RNA